rnacentral:lncRNA from 1 species
GUAUAUUCUUCAUCUGAAGAUGUUCUUCCAGUCUCUGAGUCCCCUGGACCAGGCUGUCCUCCUCUGAGUGCCCUCACAUCAGCAUGUGCCACCCUGCCUGUGAUUACCUGGUUCCUUGGGUCAUCAUGACCAACACGAGGAGCCAACCCUUUCCUGGAGCUGGGGCUAGAUCUGGGAAGAGGAAACAGCUUUGCCUUCCAGGAGGCUCACAGGUGACACAGACAAGAGGAGAGGCGAUGACUAGACUCUCAUCCUAACAACCUCCUUCACCAGACAGAGGCUCUGGAGGAGAGAGGAUCCCAGGUUCUUCACCUUGCAUCUUUAGCACCUAACCCAGAGCAAUACCGGGGAUCAAACUCAAGGCCUUGUGCUUGCCAGGCAGAUGCCAUGCCACUGAGCUAUGUCCCAGACCUGAAGAUUAUGUCUGAUUUUUAAUAUGGACAUUUUCACUCACCUGUGACUAGUAUCUACAGCCUUCCGAACACAAACCAAAGCCUCUUGGAGUCUGAAGAAUUACAGUUUGUUUAUGAGUGGCCAGGGAAGAACCCAGCCAGAGAAAAUCCCUGCCUGCUGUGGGCCCUGAAGGAGCUGUUGUCUCCGAUGAUCACAUCUCCAGACCAGCACAGGUCCCAGGGGGCUGCUGUCCAUACCGUGGCAAGGAACCAGACUGAGACCCGCAGGUGGAGAAAUGGUGGGGACACAAGGAUCGAAGACUGUCAUUCACUCCUGUGUUCACUCACUUGCUCCAUGAUACUUCCUAAGCAUCCAGUGUGGACAGGACAUUGCUUCUCUGGAGACACAGCAGGCAACAACAUUCCGCCAUCCAAAAGCAGGGAAGCCGGUGACAUUUGUAAAUGGUAGAAGGGAUAAAAGGAGCCGACAUGCUCUCUUUUCACCAUCUUCCUCCUCUAUGCUGUGAUCUCAUCUGUGAGAAAGGUGCUGAGAUGACUUCCUUUGUCAGCUCUACCCACUGCUUCCAAGGUGAGGACACCCAAGUGCCUCUGGGAGGAAAUUACACUGAGGGAGGCUGUGCUUAGUGAAAGGAAAAGACUGGACCACUGGAGAGAAUAAAGAGCCCC